UUAAAUAAAAAAGCUGGACAAAACGUUGUCGUCAUUUUCCUGAUAUCUCUGCGGAGAUUAACGACUCUGCUUCUCUGGAUUUUUCUUCGUCAAGGUCCCAUGGCUUGAUUCAAGGAGGGCAAGUGCGUCAGUGAUCAGAUACAAUGUCUUUUGGAUAAUCACAGUCAGCUUUGUUCAAUUUCCAUUCAUUCCUGACGGUGGUGCUGCUUAUGAUCUGCACUUGCACUUAUCUGAAGAUGCAGUUCCUUGCUGUUUUGGAGCAAAAAACUGGGUUAGUAGAAUCCAUGUUAUAAAGGGUGAAAAAGGUUAUCCAUUCCACUCACCUCUCAUUUAUUUUGGUCAACUAAGAAAAUGCAUCAUCAACAUGUCAUCAAGCGUUAUACACAUUUAAGAUUCUUAGA